GCCCUGCUGGGGAUGAUGACUUAGGGUUGCAAACUAUAAUUCCAAAUCAAUUCACAAAAAAGAUUUUCGUCGGGGUUUCUUAACCUGAAGUUCGCAGAUUGUUUUCCAAAAAACUCUGUGAAUACCCUGACAUUUUACAGAAAACUUCCCAUUUGCAUAUGUGCAGUUUUUGUGGAGAAAGUCUGACCAUAUUUUUCACCACAUUUGAAGAGAAAUCUUGGUAGCCCCAAAUAUUUGUGAUGCAUUCAUCUGGAUGUAGUGAUUCAGAAAUAAAUAAAACCUUGGUCUGUCAAAACAGUUUUUCUGCUUGGCAAAACAAAAUAAGAAUCUGAAAAGCAGAUAGUCUUGAGUUCACAUUCUAGACAUAAGUUAAUUCUGUUCCUUAUUAACUGUGUGACUUCAGCCAAUUACCCAACCUCUCUGUUUCCUUUUCUGUAAUAAUAUCUACUUAGAUAUUUUGGGGGAACAGUGGGUGAGGCAUAAAAUUAAAUAAUAUAAACAAAUGACUAGCACAUAGGAGGCAAUCCUAUAUCAUAGUAAUUAUUUUUACUAUUUUAUUGCUAAUAUGCUGGGGUUGCUCAGGGGACAGAGAAACUUUCUGACUGAGUUUUUGGUGACAGUAUUUAGAGAAAAAACAGUGUCUGGCUGAAGGCCCUGUCUCCAAAUGUUCUGGCAAUGUUGCUUUUGGCUGUCCCUGGCUGGUGUCUGUCUUUACCUUGAACUGCCCUAAGAUUAGAAUUUCUUGUAAACGGUGACUUAAUUAUUCGCCUGCAUCCUUUUACAACGUCGGGCUGCUUCCCCCUGUGCUCAGGGAGUUGCCUCUCUGGCUGCUGCUUAGAGUGGACUGGAAUUGACUUGUCUGACUGCUCUUUUUGAGGGCAUUAUCUCCAGUCCCUGAAGGUAAGUGUGGAGGUGCACAUACAUUUUAGGCCACUCCACUCAGGCAUACCCACCUGUUUUUGGUGGCCUUGUGCAGGCACUCAUGUAGACUUGGCGUGGGCUUUUUAGGCAAGAAAAGUGGCCAGAAUGAAGCACAUCCGAGAAUGAAAAAGAGAAGGUCACCACGAAAAGCUUCAGCAGCAAACCAGUGAACUAGCUGCAGAUGAAAGGGAAUUCCAGUCUGACUCAUCAUGGGAUCAAGUUGUUUCCCAGGCAUUCGCCCCAUGUGUGGACUGCAGGGAUAAUGUGUCUCUGGACAGAAGUCUCUCUCGUUUGACUGCUGUGGAUUCCCGCAGACUCUAGAACACCAGUCUCCCUCCUCUCCUGGCCAUCCUGCAGGGAGCCACCCUUGUAGUCUUUCUAGAACCCACAUGUCAUGCUCAUGCUGAAUAACACCCAUGAGUUCUCCAGUGUCAUCA
rnacentral:lncRNA from 1 species